UAUAUGUAGGGAAGUGAAACAAUUUUGAAACGAUCCAUAUUUUGCACGCAUAAUUACGACAAUUUUUUUUUACACGAUUACGAUAGAAACAAAAGCACAUUUAUAUGUAAAAUUUAAUGAUAUUCUCGGACGUCACCAUGUAUAGUGACUAACAACCAUUUUUUGCAUCAAACAGAAUUAACAAACAAUAGUACAUUACGUCCUUGCUUGGAGAUUUUUAUUUUGCCGAGAGGGAGGUUAGCCGAAGACAAGGGCUAUAAUCCCUCGUGGAAAAAUAACAAUCUCCAAACAAUUACGUAUUUUACUUGCGAAGCCCUGCGAAAAUUAAAAUUAUCGCAAGUGUCAACGGUAUACCCCUUGCGAAAAUUUCAUUUUCGUAGGGUGCUACAAGUCAAAAUAAUUACAGUGCGUGUAAAAUUCUAUUUAGAAACGUAAUACUCUAGGCAAAAUUUAAUGUGAUCACAGCAGGCUCGGAUUGGCCACCCAAAAGCUGGUCAUAUAGGAGGAAAGAACAGACCCAAAACAGUGGCAGAGGAACGAUUGAUUCACAGACUCAGAAUUUAGCUAUUUGUUGUUUUGAAUCAUAACGAACUUUACUUCCCGGAAAAAGGCGGCCAUUCCCCGGGCUUGAAUGAUGGUUUAAUAAAAUGAUUUUUUUUUUCGAAUGAAUUUCCGAACAAAUAAACCGCUUUUUAGACAAUGUGCGAUUUGGAAUCGUUGAUUAUUAGCAAGAAAUUUAGUAGAACAAUUUUUUGUAGGAAGCUGUCUGAUUUAUUGAUUAUUUCUUUCGCGAAUCUUUUGAAAUUUUAGCAUUAAAAAAAUGCAAACAAAAUUUGGGUUAAAUUUUGGAAACUUUUUUUUUGUUACUUAAAAAUAUCUCUCGAGUCGUCACAAAUUUAGAUUCAGUUUUCGGUGGUAAAUAAAUUUUUUUGUUGAACAUUUCUAUAACGAAUGUCCAAACAUUUUCAAUCAUUUGAUGAUUGAAUUUUAAAGCAUAAAAACAUAAAGUUAGAAUUAAAAUACUAAAAAUAUAAAUAAAUUUGUUGUAAAAUUACAAAACUCGUUUUUUGUGUUGAGAAUAAAAAACAAAAAUUUCGAAUUAUAAAUAGCCAUAACAAGUAAAUUUUCUUUGUUUUUCGUACGGUGUAUAAUCGAUUUUUAACUAUUAUUUUUUUAUUACAUUUUUUUAUCCGUAUAUGGUCACCAACAACAAACAAUUCAUUUCUCGAAGUAAUUUGUUUUAAAGAGAAUCAAUGAAAUUGUUUGGACCAUUUUAUAUAUACAACAAAAUAAUAAUAAUUAUUGUAAAAUUGAAUUAAAAAAAUUAUUUAAAAAAAAUGCAAAAAAUUUAUUAUUAAGCUGAUAAACUUAAAAAUGGAAAAUUAUAAAAAAAAAAACAACAACAACAACAGGAUGAAUAUUUAUUAAACAAAUCCUUAAAAAAGCAACUAUGAUAAUGAUAUGUAAUCUUGUAAUAAUAAAAUUAAUUUUUUAUGUUAAAAUAGUGUAGCAACGUUUUGCAACAUAUUUUUUUUUAAAUUAAAAAAUAAAAAGAGAAAAAAACUCACACGCGUUUUUCAUCUAAUAUAAAAUUUAAAAAAUAAUUAAAAUACAAAAAAAUCAACACAGACUAUCGGUAAUAUGUUUCAAAAUGAUGUCUGAUGUUCGGUGGUAUAUUUAGUAAUAAUGAAAAAGAAAAAAAAAACAAACAAAACAAACAAAAAUGUUAUUUUAUUUAC